CUACGGAGGGGGCUAGCGUUGUUCGGAAUUACUGGGCGUAAAGCGCACGUAGGCGGCUUUGCAAGUUAGAGGUGAAAGCCCGGGGCUCAACUCCGGAAUUGCCUUUAAAACUGCAUCGCUAGAAUUGUGGAGAGGUAAGUGGAAUUCCGAGUGUAGAGGUGAAAUUCGUAGAUAUUCGGAAGAACACCAGUGGCGAAGGCGACUUACUGGACACAUAUUGACGCUGAGGUGCGAAAGCGUGGGGAGCAAACAGG
rnacentral:rRNA from 1 species